rnacentral:misc_RNA from 1 species
GAUGAAGAACGCAGCAAAAUGCGAUACUUGGUGUGAAUUGCAGAAUCCCGUGAACCAUCGAGUUUUUGAACGCAAGUUGCGCCCGAAGCCUUUUGGCCGAGGGCACGUCUGCCUGGGCGUCACGCAUCGCGUCGCCCCCCACAAUUCUCCGUAAAGGGAACGUGUGUUUUGGGGGCGGAUAUUGGUCUCCCGUGCUCAUGGCGUGGUUGGCCGAAAUAGGAGUCCUUUCGAUGGACGCACGAACUAGUGGUGGUCGUAAACACCCUCGUCUUUUGUUUCGUGCUGUUGCUCGCAAGGUAAACUCUUUAAAAACCCCAAUGUGUCGUCUCUUGACGACGCUUCGACCGCGACCCCAGGUCAGGCGGGACUACCCGCUGAGUUUAAGCAUAUCAAUAAGCGGAGGA